GCGCACCAGUCGCGAAACCUCCGCAAUACACGAAAGUGUGACGGGGCCAUCCCGAGUGCCGUCCGCUGAGGACGGCUUUUCCCCAGUGUACACAGCUGGGGGAAUAAGGAGAGGGCAAGCCUGGUGUCAGCCGCCGCGGUAAUACCAGCUCUCCGAGUGGUGGGGACGCUUAUUGGGCCUAAAGCAUCCGUAGCCGGCUGGGCAAGUCCUCCGUUAAAUCCAACGAUUCAAUCGUUGGGCUGCGGGGGAUACUGUCCAGCUUGGGGGCGGGAGAGGCCGACGGUAUUCCCGGGGUAGGGGUGAAAUCCUAUAAUCCCGGGAGGACCACCAGUGGCGAAGGCUGUCGGCUAGAACGCGCCCGACGGUGAGGGAUGAAAGCUGGGGGAGCGAACCGGAUUAGAUACCCCGUAGU
rnacentral:rRNA from 1 species